AGGGUGCUGGGGGGGGGGUUAGACUGGAGCCACUGCUGCGGGCGGAGGGAGGAGGGAUCGUCCCACCGAGCAGCAACAAUGAACCUCGGGCAGCAAACGGCAGCUGCUCGGCAGCUGAAGUGCGCAGUCAUUGCAGAGCGGCCCCGCUGGGGUUUGGGGCCAUUGUUGCUUUUCCCACAUUGGCCCCACGCUGCUUGUUCCCAGCGGGAUGCAGCCAGGUGGGGAUGUCUGCCUCUGCUACAGCCCAUGAGCAGAGAGGUGCGGGCACAGCAGUGGGUCUGAGGGCACUGCAGGGCUCUCACUGCAUGGCAGUGCCACGCUCCGCUGAGGCAGUGCUGCAAUGGGGACCUCGGUGCUGAUCCGACAGCAUGGUGCUGCUCCUUGCUCUCUUGCUGCGUUGCUUGCUUUCUUUUGCAGCUGCUAAUGACUGACCUGAGGUCUGUUCACACACAGUCCCCUGCGCAGCUCUCGCAGAGGAACAUCCGGACGGGAUGGGGGACGCUGCACUGUGCCCACGUAGCCAGAUUGCACAGAACCACCAGCCCCAUGGCUCUGCCACAGCUCUCACCCGAGGGCACCGGGGCACAGGGACGUGACAGCCACCUGCACAUGGACACUGGAGCUGCUGGCCCCAGCGAAGCCACCUGAUGCCAGCCCAGCUGCUGUGGGAACAAGGCUGAAGAGAUGGUGGUGGCAGUGCCUGAGGACAUGGGACUGCCUUCACAUGGUUCUUCCAGGUGCUGGGGUCCUCUUCUUCCUGCAAACACUCUGGCACUGAUGAGGCUGUCCCCUCCUUGGAGUCCAUUUCUCAUCCUCAUGGUGCCAGGGCUGCACAUUGCAGGGCGUACUCAGGCUCUGUGUGCCUUACCAGCACGGUGACAGCAGCAGAUCCCCACCAAGCGUUUCAUCUGGAAGGCUGCAUUGCGCUGACCCAUCCCCUGACACCUUCCCAUAUCCCAUAACCCAGUGGCAAAGCCCAAAAACGUCUCCUGCUCUCCAAAGCCAUGCUGCCUUGCGCGGGGACUAACCGUGCCCAGCUGUGCAUGCGUGUGCUCUGCUCCUCUCCAGCACUAACCAGGCCCCCCAGGCACCGUGUGCCCCUUGUGAUCACUAACCCACUAACACACCUGCGCAUGCCCUACUAACAGCCCCGCUCUCACUAACAGCCCACAGGCCUUAAAGGGGAACAGAAAAGCUGGGUAAGUAUGGGGCUGUGCGGGGCAGCAUGGGGCUGGGGAUGCCAGGCAGCAUGUGGGGCAGGCAGGACAGGAUGGGCAGCUCCUCUGUAUGUCCCCUGCAUGGGGCUGGUCUCUGCAGCAGUGGGGCUGCGAUGCCCAAAGUGCUGCAUAUGGUUCUGCUGCUGACUGGGAGCCCAAAAUGGUUUUAUCAGCAGAAGCUUUUCAGUUCCUUUUUAAGCCAGUGGAUCUCUCUGUUACUAACACAUUCCUGAACUGAAUUAAACAAACUAAUCGUUGCUACUUUUCUCUUCA